rnacentral:lncRNA from 1 species
AAGCAUGGAUGAUGCUUUUCUAUGGAUCUGAAUUAAGGGAAAAAUGCCCCCUUUUCCAUCACCAGAGAGGUUUAACGCAAGGAAAACUACUCUUUUCCCCAAUAUCUGAGGGGUUUAAAUUAAAGGGGAGAAGCCAUUUCUUUACCACUGCAUCUGUUUAAAUGCAGUUAGCUGUCCCAUUUGCUCAUUUUAAGUGUUGCCUUUUCCAGCAUUUCAAGGGUUUAAAGCUGCAUUUCAGGGCACUUUUACCCACACCCCGGCACCAAAUAUCUCCAACGGGGGCGAGGCCAGCAGGAGGAUUGCAAUUUCCAGAAGUUCUAGGUCACAUCAAAUGCAGACGGUUUGACCUCGUGGCAGAGCAGCUAUCCCAGAUGAUGGGGGUCCCCCUGAGAAGGAAGUAAAGCCAGAAAGCAGCAGGGAGGGCGAAGCAGGUGGAAGGCUGCCUCCUGAUGCUGUGCUGAGGCCCCCUCACUGGUCUCCCUAGAGACCCGGUUUGCUUCUCUGGUGAGCCCCAGCAAAUAUUACCGGAGUCCGUGACGAAGCCUCGACCUCGUCCACGUGUCGGUGCGCUCCCGGUACCCUUUAGGUGCGGCCGAGGAGUCGGGCGAGUCGCAAGGAGCGGCGAGGGCGCGCUCAACUUUUAGCGACGCUACAUCGCCUCCUCUCCGUUUAUCCUAGGCGAACCCUGCGAUGACGGCGUCCGCCUCGGAGCAUGGCUGAAGCGUGAGGCCCGAGGACCUGGGAGUUCCUAAGAGACGGUGAGUAGGAGUUGGGUUUUGGUGAAUAUGCUAGUAAGAUUGUGCCCUUAUAUUUGGUUUUCUUUAUCAUAGGUGAUGAUAUUUGUCUGAGACAACAGCCUGGUGAGAGAAGAACUUCCCAGACGGUGAGGUGGCUUUGUUUGGCUCCCGACCGGCCUCUCGCUGUGACUGACAUCUUCAGCCCUCUGAGAGAUAAGUGGAGCCCACAGAGGGGAUCAAAGCAGGGCGGCGGUCGGGACUGAGAUCAGUUUGGGUUUUUGAGUGAGCUUUGGGGAUGGGGAGGUUCUGGAAAUGACCCCAUAGGCCCCAGCGAGGGAAAGCCUCACUUUGGUUUGCAAUGCUGAGGCAGGCAGGGCAGAGCAGUCCCAGGGUGUGUUGUCACUUGUCUCUCGUGCCUUCUGUGUCUUCUGUGCAUCUUGUGUAAUGUGUCUCUUGCCUUAGUCCUCCCAGGGGCUUAUGAGAAACCCCGGGGUCUUUCCGUUCAUCUCCCAUCUUUGCGUUCCUCGGCCCGACGCCGGCGAAGCUUCGAUUCGGGAGGUCGGACACGUGUCAGAAUCGCAUUUGUCUUCAGAAGCACGUGAUCUUUUUAGGUCUCGUUCUCAGCUGUGUCAACAGCUAUAUGCAGCAGUGUUUCUUUACAGUGGAUAAGGACUUGUGCCGAUUCAAAGGCAGGCAGAGGC